ACUGCUGCCUGGCAGUAAGGACACCUGGGUUCACUUCCCAGGUCCUCCCUGUGUGAAGUUUGCAUGUUCUCCCCGUGUCUGCGUGGGUUUCCUCCCACAGUCCAAAGACAUGCAGGUUAGGUGCAUUGGCGAUCCUAAAUUGUCCCCAGUGUGUGUGUGUUGUGUGCGCCCUACGGUGGGCUGGCACCCUGCUCGGGGUUUGUUUCCUGCCUUGCGCCCUGUGUUGGCUGGGAUUGGCUCCACCCUGUAGUUAGGAUAUAGCGGGUUGGAUAAUGGAUGGA